CAGCCCCUCGAGUGGUGGGGAUAAUUAUUUGGCCUAAAGCGUCCGUAGCCGGCCGAGCAAGUCUUCCGUUAAAUCCAGCGUCUCAAGCGUUGGACCGCGGGAGAUACUACACGGCUAGAGAGUGGGAGAGGUCAGCGGUAUUCUGGGGGUAGGGGCGAAAUCCUUUGAUCCCCGGAGGACCACCAGUGGCGAAGGCUGCUGACUAGAACACGUCUGACGGUCAGGGACGAAAGCUGGGGUAGCGAACCGGAUUAGAUACCCGAGUAGUCC
rnacentral:rRNA from 1 species